UAUAUAUAUUCUUUUCCAGAUUCUUUUUCAUUAUCGUUUAUUGCAAGAUAUUGAGUAAUAUUGAGCACAGUAAUACUGUGCUCUACAGUAGGACCCUGUUGUUCAUCUAUUUUACAUAUAUCAUAUAUCUGUGUGUCUCUGUUAAUCCCACACUCCUAAUUUAUCCCUCCCCUCACCCUUUCCCCUUCGGUAACCGAAAUUUUGUUUUCUGUGUCUGUGGGUCUAUUUCUCAAACAGACUUUUUUUUUCUUUUUUUUUUUUUUAAGCAGAUUGCACCUUGCUGUGUCUGGAUCAAUACUCUGGAGUAAGCUGUUUGCCCUCAAAACUGCUGGGGCCGCAGCCAUGGAGCUGCAGGAUCCCAACGGGGUCCUGACGUCCAUCUGCUCUGUUUUUUUCAGAUAAAGCCUAGUCAUCAAUCAACAGGUGAGGAAGUAGAGCCAGGCAUUGGUUGAGUGUUGAUGUUUCUGGUACAAGCUGACUCUCCGCUCAUCAUCCCACACCUUCAUCAGCCAUCAUCAUGCUGUCUGUCACCUCCUCUUCUCUGAAGAAGGCCCGGGCCAUCUUUUGAAAAUACAAAGUCCAGCAUUGAGACCCUCCCAACUGAGAGAGCAGGAAGGGCCAGGGCUGCUGAGGUGUGCUCCCUGAACCCCACUCAGGGGAUCUGUGUUGUUCCCACCUGGGUGUAUUGUGUGGACCCCUAAAAUUCCUCCAAACCUCUGCCUCUGCGCUUCCAGAUUGCCCCUGAAAGAAAUGAACAAUAAUCAUAAUACCCACCACGUACUGACCGCUGGUCUCUUGAGGGCUGCCUUGCCAUUGGACAACAUUUGUUGAGCUCCUACUGUUUGCCAGACAGCGGGUACAUGCUUUAUGUGUGUUUAGCCCUUCUGACAACACAGUGAUUUAGGACCUGUUAAUAUGUCUAUUUUGCUGAAAUGGAAACUGAGGUUCAGAGUGGUUAAAUAACAAGGAAAAGUCCAUGUUUUUACCCCCUACACUAAUAUAUAUGUAUAUUUGUGUAUAUAUAUUCUAUAUAUGUAUAUUUAACAUGUAUAUGAUGUUGACUGAAAAAAAUGCACAACCUCAAAGUUGAGAAAUAUGUUUUAUUGGGUGGGCAAAACUGAGGACUUAAGCCUGGGACACAGCCUCUCAGCUCUCUCUGAGGGACUGAUCCAAAAAGGAGAGGGAGGAGCCAUCAACUAUAGGAGUUUUUGCAACAAAGACCAGGUAAUCGGAACAUGGAAAGAUUCCUGUUAAUUAAAGAAAACCAGACAUCUCGAGUUAAUGAAUUUUUAGUGUUUUUCUGUGUAUGGGAAGAUGCAAAAGUCUGGGCUCACUGAAAUCCUUCCUUUGAUAUGCACCUCAGCUAUGUGGGCCAGUAUCCUGUGCUUUCUCAUCCUGAGUUCCCUCGGGGUGCACCAUCAGGGGAGGCUGUGGCAGUUGACUGCUAGAUGGUGGGCAUCCUGUUUCCAUCCUGAGUUUCCUCAGGGUUCACUCUUGGGGCGGCUAUAAUGUGAUGGCUUGAUGGCUGCAACAUCCUUUGUUUACUGAUAUGGCAGGCAACAUUUUUUCAUUGACAAUUAUAUAUAUACAAUCGACACUGUUCGUGUUACAUAUAUUAUCUAUUUUACGUGCUACGCGUUUUUUAGACUCUUUGCAAAAAACCUUGCAAGGUAGGUGUUAUUCUUUACAUUUUGUGAAAAAGAAAUUAAAGCCUCUAACAGGCUGAGAAAUUUGUCAGGUCACUACAUCACGAUUAACUAGUCAGUGAACAAGAUUUUGAAUCCAAGUAAUCCUUUUGUGAAAACAAAACCCCCCCAAAAACAAAGAAACUAUGUUCUUUCCAUGCUCCAAAAUAUAUUUUGGUCAAGUGACUUAAGAAACUCUCCCUUAAGCUUGUCUAAAGCAGAAAAUAAGACAACAGUGCUUGACUGGAAAUUAUCAAAAGGCAGGAUCAAGCAGGAAUAAUGAAAGGGAGCCUGAGGUUUCCGGGGAUGAACCCACUGGCUAAAUAGGCCCCUGGAAACAGAAACCCACUUUUUUUUUUUUUUUAAUUCAUUUGUAUAUUUGUUUAUUGACUGUUUUCCUCCAAUAGAAUGUAAUCUUUUUUUUUUUUUAACAUCUUUAUUGGAGUAUAAUUGCUUUACAAUGGUGUUAGUUUCUGCUUUAUAACAAAGUGAAUCAGCUCUACAUAUACAUAUAUCCCCAUAUCUCCUCCCUCUUGCUAGCUCAUGAUUUAGGACCCACGCACAGGAGAAUUCAGGCUGCAUUAAUAGAAAAAUAUGACUUGCAGCCCUGGAGAUGUGGCUUCAGAGGAAAUGAUGACUUAAUGCUUGUGAUCUGUAAGAAUGUUGGUGUUUUGGGUCAAAUAACCUAUGCAUUUUCUCAAGGGAGGUAGGUUUGGGGAAAAAAGGCAAUAAUUAAACUGAACAUACCAACAAGGAAAAAAUAAUUUAACUGUUACGAUGACUCAUUUAGUUGGCAGCUUCAGGUAAUGAGGUGCUCUGGAUUAAUUUUCCUGAGAGCAGAAACAUAUCCCUUUAAAUGAUGAAGCAUGUUAUCUUCAUCAAUCUUUGAAGAAAAUAUUUCCAAGGUACAUUUUAUAUUCUCUUUUGUCAGUAGUAUUCUUGACAAUUUUUAGGACUAGAGACAUAGUUUUGUUUUUGUUUUUAAAGAGUUUAAAGAACGAUUUGAUCUUUGAAAAUCAUGUUACAUCGUUGGUCCCCAGUGUUUUCAUCUACAGUAUGUGAACUUUGGGUUAGAUGAUCAUCAAGGUUCCUUCCAUCUCUAAUAUUCUCUAAGUAAAGGGCUCUUGUGCACAAUAAAAUUUAAAACAUAAGAAUCAUCGAGGGGGCUUGUUAAAAAUGCAGAUUCUUAGGUAUCAUUGUUGGAGGUUCUGAUUCAGUUGGUUUGAGUGAGGCAAGAGAACCUGUAUCAUAAAUGGGUGCAUACCCAUGGCCAUUUUGAUGACCUCAUUUUGAGAAACUGAUUCUCUUUCCAGCCUCAGAUAACAGAUGUCAUAACCAUUUUUGGCCACCAGGGUACCGUUGCUGCCCUGCCCUCAGUGGUGUGAAGUUGUAAGGGGCUGACCAGACCCAGAGGCCUGUGCUUUGAUAGUUUGCUUCUGAUCCCAUCCUCAGUAUUAACUGUCACUUAGUUAAUGUAGCUGCUGAGGAAAACCAGAUAAUCGAGCUGCAAAUUAGGUGCCCUGCAUUUGUACCUAUGAGUCAUUAAGUUUUCAUCUCAGGCUGGGUAGGGGCGAGGGGAGGACUUCCAUUUUCUCCUGUAGUCUAAAGUGCAUAAAUGAGCCACGGCUAUCUUAGACCCUGUUUGGAGGUCUCUUACUCUUCGUUCGUGUUCUUUCUCAUCCUAAGAGUCAAGUUUCUGGAAGGGCGACAUCAGGAGAAGUGGCAGAUUUCUGUGUAAAUAUGUUAACAUUUCAUAGUGAGGUUUGGGGUCAGGGCUGUCCCUGACUUCUCUUUUAAAUUUCUUUAUUUUUUAAACAGUUGUAUUGAUGUAUAAUUCACAUGCCAUACAAUUGACUCUUUUGAAGUAUAUGCAAUUCAGUGGUUUUUAGUAAAAUCUGUGAAUUUAUAGAGUUGUAUGCACCUAUCAUGUAAUCUAAUUUUUGAACAUUUCCAUCACCCUCCAAAAGAAACCUUGUGCCUAUUUGGAAUCACUCUCAUUCCCACCCCCAGACCCAUUCAACCGAUAAUUUACUUCUUACCUCUAUAGAUUUGCCUUUUGUAGACAUUUCAUAUAAAUGGGCUCAUACCGUA